rnacentral:lncRNA from 1 species
GAGGAGGAAGCUUUUGCUUUAGGACUUGAGCAGCCUCUGCUACCUUGCCAACCCCCAGGCCGCAGGACCCCAGACAGACCACUUGAGGCCAGGCCCAGCCUGGAGGAGAGCCCUGACUUGCCUUGUCUUCAGGUCUACCAGCACGUGUGCGGUCUCAUUAAUAUUGAUCCUAAUCAGCCCCCUGCUUGGAGAUUAUGGAAUAAUCCCAGACAUAUUACCUGCUUUAGUCCUCAAAACUGCCUAAAAAGGAAUGAAUGCAGACUAUACAGAUGAGGAAGCUGAGGCUUAAAGGAAGAAAGUGGUAUACCUAAAGUCCUCUGUGAAGGAAGUGGCAGACCUGAGAUUCAAACUCAAGUCUAGUUACUCAAAGCCUGAGCUCUCUCCAUAAGGUUGUAGUGAAGACCACGUAAGUAGCAUGUGCCAAGCUCCUUGGAACCACAGUAAAGACAGUAAUUAAUCUGAUGGGGAAAAAAUCAGGGAAGACUGCCCAGCAGAAAUAUUUGAGUUGAUUCUUGAAGGGUGAAUAAAAUGUUAACUGAUAGAGAAAGAGGAUAUUGGGG